rnacentral:rRNA from 1 species
UACCUACGGGGCGCAGCAGUGGGGAAUAUUGCACAAUGGGGGAAACCCUGAUGCAGCGACGCCGCGUGAGUGAAGAAGUAUCUCGGUACGUAAAGCUCUAUCAGCAGGGAAGAAAAUGACGGUACCUGACUAAGAAGCCCCGGCUAACUACGUGCCAGCAGCCGCGGUAAUACGUAGGGGGCAAGCGUUAUCCGGAUUUACUGGGUGUAAAGGGGGCGCAGACGGCAAUGCAAGCCAGGAGUGAAAGCCCGGGUCCCAACCCCGGGACUGCUCUUGGAACUGCAUGGCUGGAGUACAGGAGGGGC